rnacentral:rRNA from 1 species
ACGUAGGGGGCGAGCGUUGUCCGGAAUUACUGGGCGUAAAGGGUGCGUAGGCGGCAGACUAAGUCUUGUGUGAAAUACCCGGGCUCAACCCGGGGGUUGCAUGGGAAGCUGGAGUGCUUGAGUGCAGGAGAGGGAAGCGGAAUUCCUAGUGUGGCGUUGAAAUGCUUAAAUAUGAGGAGGAAAACCUGUGGCGAGGGCGAGUUCCUGGAUUGAAACUGACGCUGAGGCAUGAAAGUGUGGGUUACAAACGG